GGUGUGUGUGUGCGGGCAUGCAUGCCUGAAGGUGAUUUCUUCAAAUACAUCAUUAAACUUGUCUUCCCUAAAUAAGUUCUUACUUGUCUUUAGGAUACAGUUUUUGACUGAUAUAGGAAGUGAAGUAUAUUCCUUUUCUUUUCUAAAUCUAAUCUGUCGUUUUCUUUUAUCAGCCAGACUCGUGUCUCGUCCUCAUUACUGUUCCCCUCAUCAGCUGAAGCUGUUCUUUCCCGGUAAUGACCAGUCUUAAACAUUUGCAUCACUCAACAAAUAGCCAUUCUCACUAUUUGUCUUGCCUGAUUCACUUCUCAUAUAUACUCAGCGUUUGAUUUGUUUUAAAUGUGACCCCACUGAGAACAUUGUUCUGGAGAGCUUUUUCUGAUGCCAUUAGGCAACAACAGUGUAGCGUUAUCAGUCAUCACUUCAAUAUUAUUAAAAUGUUGGCUGCAACUUGACUUCUUUAAUUGAAUCUAGCAUUUUCUAGGCUGGCGUUUCUUAAUGGAGGUUGCAGGUCAGACUUGUCCACGAACUUCUAUUAAUACACAGGAGUCCAGGUACUGCUCUGGACUUUCUGAAUCUCUUUACUUGAUAUUCUUGAUAUUAAAAAAAGUAUGACUCAGGAUUAUUACAUUAAAUCUUAAAGUAUUUUCCUCUAUAGAGAUUAUCUCCAUUCAUUUGUAUAAAUCAGAUCUAAUAUUUACAGGCUAAUUUGAAAAUAGGUUUAAUCAUUAUCCUUGGAGACAUUUUGUCUAAAGUUUGCUUGGAAUGGCUUUCUUCUCUUUGUUUUGUGUGCCAUAGAAACAGUCAGACUUCCUCUUCAGUUGCAGUAUUCUCAUCACAAGCCCUCUUCAGACCUUACACAUUUGAAAAUUAUAACUAAUAUUUGCCUCCAACAAAGUGUCCGUUUGCUUUUAUUAGUUCCUAGUGACUAUCAGUGAAUAUUUUGCAUAUUUGAAUUAGGUAACAUUUCAAAGUAUUAAUAAAAAGCAUAAGUAACAAAAUGCCAGAUUUAAAACAUAGAAUUAGAUCUCUUGUAGCCUUGAUGCCAGUAAUCAAUAGAUUUUCCUAAUUAAAAAGGAUUGGGCAAAUUCCCUAAGGACUUCUGAUGACUUCUGUAGGUACAGCCUCUGUAUGGUAAAUAAUUGAGAUCAAAGAUGAAAUGAUCUUUAAGUUAAAUAAUUAAGAUUAAGUUUAAAUAAUCUUUAAGUUUUCAAAUGAAAAGUCCUAGUAGUACAGAAAAUAAAGCAUUAACGUUUAAGAUACUUAGGCCUAUAUUGGAAAUGGUUCCAUUUUCUACAUUGAAAAUAUCCUCGAGUAUAGGAGUUAAUGUGAUUUUCUUCAGUAUAAGAAUCUUGAGUAAAAGUGGCUAUAUUGUCAAAUACUUUCCUGGGAGAUUGUAGUAAUCCGUCAGACACGUCUUCUUACAUUUCCUCAUUGACAUCUGUCACAUGUGGGUAAUUUCUAAACACCUUGCAGGAUUUGAAGCUAACGGUUUUAGUGAAAAAUAAAAGGACAGAGAUACAACUGUAUUUACUUUUGUCUAAAUGCCUAUAAUCUUAAGAACUGAAAAUUCAGAGGAAAAGAACAAGUAGAAGUUUACUAAUUCAACAUUUUUUUUCCAUGAUAUACUUUGAAUGUUUCCUUAGAAACUUAUUUUACAAAUAUUACCAUAAUAAUAAUAACAAUAACAACAACACAAUGUUGUUAUUGAAAGAAUUACCCAUUCAUUUUUCAAAGUUGACUGUGAGUGGAGUUUUGGGGGGGGGGGGGGGUUUUCACUUAUGAUGGCUGUCUCAUUAUUUAAAAUUUAUAACUAUUUUUGAAUGUGCAGAGUGAUUAGCUAUUUGUAACACUAUUCCGAUGUAGCGUUGUAAUUUGAAAAUAAAAAAACAAGUUAGGAUUUAGGUGGGAUGGAAAAAUUAUAUUUUAUUGAUCAAAAUAUAUACUUUUAAACAAGAAGUCUUAGUACAAUUGGGCCUUUUAAAAUUUUAUUUUGGAAAUAAUAUAUUUCAACAAUAUAUAUUAAAACUAGAGGUUCUCUGGUAGCCAGCGUACUAACUAGUUAAUGUUAAAAUGCUAUUUUUGCUAUUCCUUCUCUUGGAAACAUUUUCCCACACUAUGUGAGCAAUGUGUUUUAAGAUUUAGUGGGCUCAACCCUCAAAUUCAGCAAAUACUCCUCUUGCUUUUUGAAAGGAAAAACUUACCUGUGAUAGACAUAUUAUUUUGCUCUUCAGAAUACUAAAAUUAUAUUAAUCAAUAAACACUUUAGAAAGUGGUUCUGGUAAGGAGUUAUCAGUUAUCGGACUUAACUGAAAAAAAAAAUUCAACCUCUUAGUUUCUUAUAUAGGGAUUAAAGAAAAUAACUUUAUUUCUUCCUUUGGGAUUUUGAUUAUUUUUCUUGGGUAACUUUUAAAGUAAUUAUAGUAGUUUCCACACUUUUUCCAAAAUUAUGGCAUGUUACAGUAAAUCUUACUGUUAAAGGUCUUUCACAUUUUAGACUGGUUUUUUCCUAUUCUGCUUUGUACUGCUUUCUGUGAUUCGUAAAUACCGUCACCAAAAAGGUUUUGUGGCUGCUUACUGUUUAUUUUGUAGUUAGCUCUACAUAAGGAAAACUGUUAGAGACCGAUAUGGCUGGUCUGGCUUUCCUUGCCUUGGCUGUUUGCUUUUGUAGACUAGAAUGACAAAUUCAGAAAAAAGUAAUCAGAGACCUAGCCAGACAGUCAUUUUCUGUCAGAUGCCUUGCUGUACGUAGAAGUGAAUCCAUUAAGACAGGAAAAUAUCAAACGCAUAUGAUUUGUCUCUUAUGUCACUUUUUCUGGGACUCAGAUUAAAUCGGAGUAUUUCGGUGUUACCAUAGAGGGUGACAGUGACUUGAAUGCUUAUAUAUGCGCGUCGUCAAUUCAGAGGAGGAUUCUGAAAAUUCGGAAUUGUUAAAAAACUUGCAAAUCGUGCUGCUACUUAAACAUCUAAGGAAUUCACAAAAGUUGUGUCGUUAUCAUAAAUGUUCCUUCUCAUUUAUUCUACUGGAAUUGACAAUGAAAAAAGAUUAUUAAGCCUUAUUUAUAUCUAAUUAUUGACUGCAAACUGUGACUGAAUAUUUGUAUGCCAAAAAAAGGUUUUAAAGUUGAGAGUUUUAGACGUAAUAAAGAUGUGUAAAUACUUUUGAUUAGUAUUUUCAUUAUAAUGAAGUUACUGUUAAUUUGGUGCAAUAUAUUCUUCCCUUCCUCGUCCUUUUAAAAUUAAAUAUAUAAUAUGUAUGUUUUGUUUUGUUACAUUGAAAGCUGUUUGGAAAUUUUUCAGUGUGUGUAUAUGAGUUACUGUUUGCUUUGUUUCUGUAUAGCGUGAUUGAAGAUGAUAACUGAAAAUUUUGCACCCUUUUUAGUCCUUUGGAAAUUUGUAUUCUAACAGUUUUUAAGAAUGUGCAUUUAUUUUGUACAUAAUAAAUAGCUUUGUAUAUGAAAAUGGGCUGGAAUCAAAUUAAAAGAAUGCUGUUCCUUUCCUCGGUUGGUUUGUGAGUCUCAGCUCAUGGCGUCUGGUGAGAACUCGGCCUUCACCGAGUGAGCGGGCAGAGGCCUGAAUGCAGUGCUUGCUAAUGCAUUACUGCUGCUUCUCAAGUGAGCAGAGCCGCUUCUGUAGCCUUCUGUGCACAAGAUAAACGUCAUGCUAAUUGACCAAUUUUUGUCAUAUGUAACAACAGAUAUUAAGCCUUUCGUUUUAAAGCCACCUCAGAAAUAUGGCUACAUUUUUUUCCCCAGGAAAUGAUCAUACGCCAGAAAUCUUCAUUUGUAGUUUAUCAAAUAAUACAUUAGGUUGAGGUUUUUAAAAAACUUUUAUUUCCUUUCAUAAUUAAAAUCUUUUAUUCAUCAAUUUUUGAUUAAUGUCUAAAUGUUGACCUAAUCCUUCUGUUUCUGUUAAAGUUAAUAGAACCUAAUCCAUGAUAAGACAGAAUCCAAGCUCUGUUGGAUUCUUGCUAUGUAGUACUUUUGUCUCCAGAUCCAGUAAAGCAAGACAACAGAAAUGAACAUUAACCUUUUUCUAGUCUGGUACCAUUUGUGCGCUAUUCUACCUCUACUGAAGACACUUGGCUAGAAUUGGAAACCUCUGCAUUCAUUCAUCUGGUGAGAUUUGUCAGUCACAGGACAAUGAAAGCCAGGGCCCUUACAGGCUUAAUUAAGUCUGCCUUGGAGAAAGCCAAAUACCAUCUGACUUCACUCAUGUGGAAGAUAAAAGAGCAAAAUCAGCAAACACAUAGAUACAGAGAAUAUAUUGUUAGAUUGGGGGAGGGUGAAAGGGGUAAAUGGGUCAUUUAUACAAUGAUGGAUGGAAACCAGACUUUUGAUGGUGAGCGCCAGUCUAUACAGAAAUCGAAAUAGAAUGAUGUACACCUGGAAUUCAUACAAUGUUAUAAACCAGUAUUGCCUCAGUUGAAAAAAAGACCACUUUGCUUUUGUGAAAUAAGUCCAUAACACCAUAUCAAGCAUCAAAUAAAUGUAUUUGUUUUACACAAUAUGCUGAAGC
rnacentral:lncRNA from 1 species